rnacentral:rRNA from 1 species
UUGCUAGAAGAUGACGAGUGGCGGACGGGUGAGUAAUGCUUGGGAACUUGCCUUUGCGAGGGGGAUAACAGUUGGAAACGACUGCUAAUACCGCAUAAUGUCUUCGGACCAAACGGGGCUUCGGCUCCGGCGCAAAGAGAGGCCCAAGUGAGAUUAGCUAGUUGGUAAGGUAACGGCUUACCAAGGCGACGAUCUCUAGCUGUUCUGAGAGGAAGAUCAGCCACACUGGGACUGAGACACGGCCCAGACUCCUACGGGAGGCAGCAGUGGGGAAUAUUGCACAAUGGGGGAAACCCUGAUGCAGCCAUGCCGCGUGUGUGAAGAAGGCCUUCGGGUUGUAAAGCACUUUCAGUUGUGAGGAAAAGUUAGUAGUUAAUACCUGCUAGCCGUGACGUUAACAACAGAAGAAGCACCGGCUAACUCCGUGCCAGCAGCCGCGGUAAUACGGAGGGUGCGAGCGUUAAUCGGAAUUACUGGGCGUAAAGCGCACGCAGGCGGUUUGUUAAGCUAGAUGUGAAAGCCCCGGGCUCAACCUGGGAUGGUCAUUUAGAACUGGCAGACUAGAGUCUUGGAGAGGGGAGUGGAAUUCCAGGUGUAGC